UUCUCAAUCUGCAUUUUAUUUUAUGGUCCACAAGAGAUAUUUAUUUGAUACAAUAAUACAGUUAGUGUUCCAUCCAACAACUAGAACAAAAGGAAUAAAACUUUGUAUAUAUACAUAAAAACUCAAGAUAUUUAAUGUGACAAGUAUAUAUAUUUAAAAUAAUGCUCUUAAAAUUCCUUAGUUAUUGAAAAUAUAAAAACAAAAAGAUGUUCAUAGAAACAGAAUGCAUGAAACCAAAUAUCAAAGUUUGAGCAAAUUAAUAUGUGAGGCAACUUAGCUAACAAUGCAUGAUUUUCUUGUUUACAAUCUACUAAAAAUAUCUUUAUAUCAACUGAGUGGCAAAAUAGGUUUAAUAAACUCAGACACCUACCGACAGAGUAUUACUUUCUUUUGAGCUGGUAGUGACCACAGAAAUGUCAGAUCAUUUCUCUGAAUGAAGCAUUUUAUUCAAGUAACACAAAACUUCCAGACAUAUUUUCAUAAUAUAUUUAAUCAUUUCUUCAUGUGAUAUUUAUAGAUAAUUUGAAUUUUCUGGUGUAGUUACGUGGAUAUAUUGUGUAGUAGUGAAGUCUGAGCUUUUAGUGUAACCAUCACCUGGAUAAUGUACAUUGUACCCACUAGGUAAUUUUUCUUCCCUCAGGAUCCUCCCUCCUCCCACCCUUGAGAGUCUCCAAUGUCUAUUACUCCACAACCUGUCCACGUGUACACAUAUUUAGCUCCCAACUAUGAGAACAUGUGAUAUUUCACUGUUUCUGAGUUAUUGCACUUACGUAUUAUGUAAUAUAUAACACACUUCAUACAUGUAACAUACAUGGAAGGUGUUGAAACAAAGUAAAAUCAUGACCCCCUACCCCAUUUACCUAAAUAUUACCUACCCUAUAUACCAAAGUACCUGUGCAGUCCUCUAAUAUCUUCUCUUACCUCCUUAUCACCAAUUAUUCUGAAAUAUGUUUCUCUUUUUAAAUUUAUUUUUAAUUCACAAAUAAAAAUUCUCUAUAUUUAUCAUAUACAAAACAAUGUUUUGAAGUAUGUGUACAUUGUAGAAUGGCUAAAUCCAGCUAACAUAUACAUAACAAUGCAUGUGUUUCUCAUUCUUAAUGUUAAUAUUCAGGUCCAUAUCCAUUAUUAAAAAACCUCAGGACCAGAUGUAUUUCAGAUUCAGAUUGUUUUUAUCAAUUUCAGAAAGAUUAUAUAGGGCAUAUCUUAUAUAUUAUGAUUAUUCCCAACAGAGUCUAGAGAGAAUUCAGUAGUCAAACUCAUCAAUAUAUCCCAGGGCACAAUGGGUGAACAUUUACAUCUGCUAUAAAUAAACACUAUGAAUAGCCUUAUGUUGUCUGUUUUUGCCACCAAACGAGGUUGCAUAUAAAAACAAACUUUCACAUCUCAUGGCCUUAUGGAUUUUGGAAUUCCAGCUAAAGAGCUUAGAUCUGCUGUUUAACUUAUCAAACUUUUCUCAUUUAGUUAAUCCUUUAUGUAUUUUGUUUAAGAAACCUUUCUACUCUGAAAUAAUAAAGGUAUUCAUUUAAAUUUUUUUCUUACUUGUAAAGUUUUAUCUUUCCUAAUAUAUUUAAUUUAUCCAGAAAUCUUUUUUGUAUAUAAGAAUGAAUUCUAUUUUCUUUUCUCCUCUAUGGAUAAAUAACUAUCACUGUAAAAUUUAUAAAACUCCACCUCAGUUAUAUAUCUUAUUUCUGUACAUGAAGAGGUCUACUUCUGGACUUACUGUUGCACAAAUUUUUACCUUUGCACUAAGACCACACUAUUUUAAUUAGCUUAGCUUGAUAGCAGGCCUGGUAGUUGGUAGAGCUAUUCUCUUAACCUUAUUCUUAUUCAUCAGGAGUGCCCUGGCUCUUCUUGACCCCUUGAUCUUCUAUUCAAAUAUUAUCAUAAACUAGUCAGGUUCCUCAAAAACCACUUUUGGGAGUAGGAUUGGAUUUUCCCUGAAACUCUCAUUUAAUUUAAAGAAAAUUGACAUCUUAGCAAUAUUGAUUUUUCCUAACUGAAUAUGGGCACCUCUCUGCAUUUAUUUUUUUAAUGUAUUUCAAUAAAAUUUUAUAAUUUUCUCUAUACUGGCAUUGCACAUAUUUUGUUACACUUAUUCCUGAGUACAUUAUCAUUUUUGUUUAUACUGAAAAUGGUGGGUUUAAAGUUUCGCUUUCUAUGUAUUGCUGGUGUUUAGAAAUACAACUGACUUUUGUUUUUGAUCUCAUAUCUAGUCACUUUCCUAAUAAACCUAUUUUUAUUCUAAGAAACUAUCUCUAUAUUCUUUGGAUUUUCCAUAUAAACAAUACUAUUUGUAGAUAACAGUUUUGUUUCUUCUCUUCAAAAACAUAUUCAUUUAUUUUACUUAUAUUUCAUCGACUAGAAACUUCAGUGUAAUAUUGAAAAGGAAGAGCAAUAGAAGGAAUUAUUGUCUUAUUCUUAAUUUUAAAAGGAAUAUUUCCAAAAUUUAUCAUUAAGAAUGGUGUUUGCUGUAAAGUUUUGAUAAAUACUUAUAUUGCUGAGUUAGAAAGGUAGUAAUCAUGAAUGGAUGUUUAAUUACACGAAAUGAUUUUCUGCUUUCAGUGAGAUGAGCAAAUGAUAUUUUUCCUUUAUAAAUGUGGGGAAACAUAUUCAUUGAUUUUAUGAUGUUAAAAUACCUUUAUAUUUCUGGGAUAAAUGCAACUUGAUCAUAAUGUAUUAUCAUUUUUAUACACUGCUAGAUUUGGUUUGUUAGUACUGUGUUUUUCAUUUUGGCAUUGACAUCUGUGAGUAAAAUCAGACCAUAAUUUUUUUUCACAUAUAGUCCUUAACUGUGUUUUGGUAUUAGAAUAUAAGUUGUGUAGAAUUUCCUCUUUGUCCAUUACCUAAAAGAAUUUUUAUGAAGUUAGAAUGAUCUGUUUUGCUUAAAAAUUUAAAGAAUUCAUUGAUAAAAUUGAGCUUACUAUUUUUAAUAUGGGGAGGUUUAAAAUUACUAAUCUGAAUUUCCAUUUCUUAUUGAGUCAGUUUUAAUAGGUUUUAAUUUUUCUACAAAUCUAUACAUUUUAUGUUUCAAUUUUUUUCUUAAAAAAUCAUGCAUAAUAUUAUUUUGCUUUGGCUUUGUCUUUGUGACUUAGUAAAUUCUGCCACAGGAUUAUAUGUAUUACUUGUCUAUUAAAAUAACUUUCUUCUUUCUUUCUUCUCUUCAUUAUAUGUUUUCUGUUUCAUUAAUUUAUCUUAUUUAUUAUCUUUUAUUCUAUUUUCCUUGAAUUUAUUUUACUGAUUCUUUGUGUAAAAUCUUAAGUUGAAUUACCAGCAAAUUAAUUUUCAGACUUUUUGUAUUCUAUUGUAAGUAUUAAAGGACACACACAUACCCCUUCAAAAGAUUCAAUAUUCUUCGUUUUAUGUUAAUUUUAUUAUUAGUCAGCUCUAAGUAUUUGUUAUCCAUUACCAAAUGGAUGAAGACUGUGAAAUUCAUUGCUUAAUUUAUUUCUAUCUUAAUAAUACUGAGAUCUGUAUAACAUUCUUCGAAAUAAAUAAAACUCUAGUAUUUAAAGCUUCAGAUAUAGUAGAAAAUAAUGUGUAUUCUCUGAUUGUUGGAAAUACAGUUCUAUGUGUGCCCCUGAAAUCAAGCUUGUUGAUAGGUUGUUCAAAUUCUUCAUAUUAUUAUAUUGUUUGUCUGAUGUUCUAAAAAUAAAAAUAUAGGGAGUUUGUGAAUCUGUUAAUUUUUUCUAGUAGCCAAUUUCUCCUGUAGUUCUAUCAUAUUUUGCUUCAUAUAUUUUGGUGUUUAGCUAGACCCAUACAGGUUUAGUACUGUUAUUCUUCUGGUGAAUUGAAACUCUCACUGUUUAUAAAUAUUUAUUUUAUCUUUAAAAAUGCUCUGUGUUUUAAGUUUUAUUUUAUUCAAUUUAAUACAGCUACCACAGCUUGCUUGCUUGCUCACUUGCUUUGCUUGCCUUGCUGCUUUUUCUAUGUUUAAAUUCACCAAACUGAGCAAUGGAAUCUUUCCAGCACCCCAGGAACCCCCUGGUGUUCCCUACUCAUCACUACCCCCAUACAUUCCAGAGGGUUAACAUUCACAACUUCUUUAUUUUGUUUUGUAUGUUCCUGGUUAUCUCUUUUUCCAUUCUUUUAUGAUCAGUCCCCCUAAGUUUCUAUAUUUCCCUUCAAUCCAGUCUGACAAUUUCUAUCUUUAACUUUUAGCAGUUAUAGUUAAAUUGCUAUAAUUAGGGGAUUUAUUACACCUAUAUUUAUUUAUGGUAUAAAUAACUGGUGAAUUUAAUUACAUUUAUUGUUCUUUGCAUAAGAUUAUUGUUUAUAAAUAUUUAUGUCUUUAACCUCAUAUCAUGGAAGCAGUCUUAGGACUGGCCAUAGGACUUGCUUUAGAAAAUAAUAUUUUAGCAGAUGUAACACAGCAUAAGGACUGAAUUAUGCUUGUUAUGUGUCUCUGCUGUAGCCAUUAGAAAAAUAUCCCUAGGUUAGCCAGCUGGUCCUACAAGGAGGAUGAAAGAUAUGUGGAGCAGAUCCAAACCACCUUAGCUCAGCAGAGCCCUCAGCAAACCUAAAGAUUCAUAAACACAGAUGCUUAUUGUGUUAAUCCACUGAGUUGUAGAAUGAUUUGUUACUAAUUUUGUGGCAAUAACUAAAUGAUACUUUCUUAUUCAUAUAUGUUUAUUUGUUUUUACUCUUUUGACUUGUGUGCUUCUUAUCUGUCUCACUAUUGUUUCCUUUUCCCUUAUGGAAGAAGAAAUAAUUGAAUUCUCUGUCAGUUUAUCUGUUUUUGUCUCAUUGCAAUUCUUCCUUCUGUUUGUUUAGAAAUUGUAAGUUCUAUUUCUAUUUUUGAAAGACACCCUUAAAAUUUUAUCAGGCAUAUUAAACAAAGCCUAAAGUCAGUCUUUUUUCCUAAAAACACAAGAGCUUCAUAAUAAUUUCAUUUCAAUCACUACUUCCCAAUAUACAUACUAUUUUUUUCUAGUAGGUUAGUUGUAUAUGUUUAACUCCCAAAUUGGGUAUUAUUAAAAUUAAUAUCUUAUACAGGUUAUUUUUGUCUAGAUAUCUUAAAAUAGCUCUGCUGUCUUUGCUUGCCACUUUUUCUUGCAGAUCUUCCAACUUUUUAAAAAAUAUAUAUGUUGCCUUUAUAAAUGAAGGUCUUGUAAUCAUAAAUUCUGCCAGUUUUUAUUUACAUUAAGUAUCUUUAUUUCAUUCUUGUUCUUAAAAUCUAAUUUUGAAGAGUAUAUAGUUUUUCCCAACAUAUUGAAUAUAUUAUUCUACUGUAUUUUGACAUCUAUUAUUGAGGUUGAAAAGUCUGCUGUUAGACUAUUUGCUACUCCUUUAUGGGUAAUAUGUAUUCCCUCUCUCUCUGGUUGUUAUCCAGAACUUUUCUUUGUCACUAAAAGUUUGCUAAAACUUUGCACAACAUGAAUUUAUUUUUUAUUCUGCUUGAGAUAUAUUCUGAUUCCCACAUGGGUGGACUUCUGUAUUUUAUCAAGUCUGAAAUUUUUUUUGGCCAUUGUGCCUUUAGGUAUUUCCUCAAAUAAAUGCACAUUAGUUCUUUCAUUCUACAAUGUCUCCCAUGACUCUUAAACUUUCUUUCAUAUUUUUUAUCUUCUACUUCUAUGCUACUUUUAGUGGAGCUUCUUUAGGUCUGUAUUUCAAUUCGGUCAUUCUCUCUUUAUGGCAUUAACUCUGUGGUUAACAUAUCCAUUAUGCUUUUAAUUUUGACUUGUUUUAAAUUUAGAGAUUCUAUGUGGAUGAUUUUCAAAUAUGCCUAGCCAUUUUGACAUAUUCUUGUUUCAGUAUUUUAUUUUAAAUUUGCUUUUUAAAAUUUUUAUAUAGGUAUUUAUAUUCCACAUAUGCAAAUUCUGAUAUUUGAAGUCCUUGUUGACAGUUAUCUGUUGUUUGCUGUCCUUUCAACUUUCACUCACAGUGGCUAGUUUCCUUGGGCAUUUUUACUACAAACUUGUUUUGUUGAACUUACUCUAUAGAAAUCCUAAGAUUCUAAAAUAGGAAUACUGAUCUCCAGGGAUAGGUAUGACAGCCAGAAGGUACCACUGAGCUAGGAUACUUUAUCCCACUUUGAGCAUCUUAAAUUAAUAUGAGAAUCUCAAGUUCAUCUCUUUCACCUUUCUGCUAACCCAGGGCUUAUUCUCUACUCCAAAAACUGAUAAGAGAUUUUUGACUGGAACAAUCCUAACUUUUACCUCUGGGUUUUUUUCUGUUUCAUAUUUUGUUUUAAUUUUUAAUUGACAUUUCGAGUUUUUUGAUUUGCCAUAGAGAUUUCCCUUACACCUUGAGAAGAGCAGCAAUCCACUAAAAAUUUUGUUUGUAUAAUUAUUGCAGGAUCAACGCAUUUAAAUGGUUGAGAGUUCAACUACCUAGUAACCAAUAUUGCCCCCAAAUAUUUUCACAACAUACUCUUUUUAAGGAUUCAAAACAACUUUAUGAAGGAUGGUGUAAUAUUAUCAUCAGUAUCAAAUACGAAAGCUGAGUCUUAAGUGAGUUAUUACUCUAAAGAUACAGAAUGCCAAAAGUAAACAUUUGUCAAAGCUGAAACCUUGAUGACAAAAUAAAACAAAUUUAUCCUGGAGCUUUGACCCAAAGAAUCCUUCAAUGUAACGUGACGUUCUUAUUAUAUCAAUAUUUUGUUUGUAUGAAACAAACUUUAUUACAAUAAUAUUUUAUAUUUUUUUAAAUUUGUAUAUCUACAAGCCUUAAAAACUAAAGGUUUCCUAACUUAGCAUUUACAUUUUUCUCAAAUUUUGUGAAGUUUAACCAAAUGCAUCAACAGGCGUUAGGAUUUAUGAAAGUUUAACUUUAAAAAUUAUUUUUAACUAUAACUUCACAGAGACUGAGAUAACAAAAAGAUGAUUUUUUUUUUCUGAGUAAGCCAGUGCUCAAGAGUGAAUAAUUUUGAAGCCAAAUAGGGAUUUCAGUUUCUAUAUGGAGCCUUAACCAUAACUUCCCUGGGGAAUUUUCCAAGUCUGCAAAAUAAUACCUUAAAAUAAAUACUUGCAAAUCCAUAGCACUAUUCAUGUGAGCCUAAGCAUCGUUAAGCCUUAGAUGACAUAUUCCAUCUUGCAGACAGUGAUAUAGAAACACAGAAGCAUUAAGUGACUUUGGUAAUGCCACAGAAGGUCAACUAAAGCUGAGUCAGUAACAAUAUAUCUCAGAAGUAUCUAAAAGGAGAAUCAGUUCUAGGGGAUUUUCAGGUUUAGAAGAUUCUGAAAUAUCUUAGGAGGGUAGUUCUCCACAAAAACCGUCACCAGGGUACUUGAUGGAAAUGCAAAUUCUCAGGUUCCUCUCAGACCACUGGAUGUGCUGAAUAGCAGAUUGUACACAACAAAAAAGAUCAGUGAACUUGAUGCUGGGUCAACAAAAUUCUCCAGACUGUAGAACA
rnacentral:lncRNA from 1 species